rnacentral:RNase_P_RNA from 1 species
UAGGUAGGCUGGGUGAUCGCCCCGAUACUGUCGGGGAGGAAAGUCCGAGCUCCACAGGGCAGGGUGCUGGCUAACGGCCAGGCGGGGUAACCCGACGGAAAGUGCCACAGAAACAAUACCGCCCCGAUUUAUCGGGGUAAGGGCGAAAUGGUGAGGUAAGAGCUCACCGCUCCGAUGGUGACAUUGGAGGCAGGGCAAACCCCACUCGGAGCAAGGCCGCAUAGGGGGGCUAAGGGUGCCCGUCCCGUCCCCGGGUUGGCUGCUAGAGGCUUCGAGUAAUCGGAGUCCCAGAUAGAUGAUCACCGUCCCGGCUAUGUCGGGAUACAGGACUCGGCUUACAGGCCUACCUAUCAA